CCCCCUCUCAACAGAUCAAGAGGUGAAGGGAGAGUUUGAGGGAGGCUCUGCUCAGCUGUGAGGCAACAGAAGGCAGGAUCAGUGCUGACCUCCACCAUGGCCUGGUCCCCUCUCCUCAUCACCCUCCUCGCUCACUGCACAGGGAUUUGGGCUCAGUCGGGGCCAAAUCAACCAUCCUCAGUGUCUGGGGCCCUGGGCCAGAGGGUCACUAUCUCCUGCACUGGAGUUGGUAGUAACGUGGGCUGGUACCAACAAAUCCCAGGAAUGGCCCCCAAAACCAUCAUCUAUUGGGAUAAUAGCAGACCCUCGGGGGUCCCUGAUCGAUUCUCCGGCUCCAAGUCUGGCAGCACAGGCACCCUGACCAUCACUGGGCUCCAGGCCGAAGACGAGGCUGAUUAUUACUGCUCAUCGUGGUACAGCAGUAGCAGUGCUUACACAGUGGUCCAGGCCUGUGGGGAAGUGAGACAAAAACCUAGUUACUCAUCUGUAAAGAGGGAAACACAUCAGCAGUUGCCUCCUCAGCUCAGCCUGUGACUCUGCUCAUUCCGU